UUAUCCCCAGGUUUUGAAUCAAAUUGUAUAUGAACUUCCUGCUGAACAUCCUCUAGCUGAAAUCAGACCACUUCGUGAACUUCUUGGGCAUACCCCUCCUCAGGUGGUUGCUGGUAUGUUACUUGGAAUCCUUACAGCAGCUAUUGGCCAUCUACUGACCAUGAUCAAAUAAUGGCGAUGCUUCUUACGGUUGAAUUAUGGUUAAUUUCUGUUCAUACCAUAGCACAGAAAUUUAAACUACCAUUAUGCGGUCUUACACUUAACCCCAGAAAUAUAGCACUCUUGCUGUUAGUGCUCGUUCUAAAGGUGCCUUCAGUGUUCUUCGUGCACUUGACCUUGCUCAUCUCAGAAGUAGAAUUAAAAAAGUGUAUCUGAUCUGAUUGGAUUAGUUUAUGUAACGGAACUAACUGUCCAAACAUAUUAUUCUUUCCACCGAGAUGAGAUGGCUUUUAAGUAAA